rnacentral:rRNA from 1 species
GACGUAGGAGGCGAGCGUUAUCCGGAUUCACUGGGCGUAAAGCGCAUGUAGGCGGAUGUCUAAGUCGUGUGUUAAAGCCCCUGGCUCAACUGGGGGAGGUCAUGCGAGACUGGAUGACUUGAGGGCAACAGAGGCACGUGGAACUCCCGGUGUAGCGGUGGAAUGCGUAGAGAUCGGGAAGAACACCCGUGGCGAAGGCGGUUCUCUGGGACGGUACUGACGCUGAGACGCGAAAGCGUGGGGAGCGAACAGG